GCAGUGGUGGUUUGGUGGUAGAAUUCCUGCCUUCUAUGCGGAGACCCAGGUUUGAUUCUCGGCCAGUGCA
rnacentral:tRNA from 1 species